GGUUAAGUUAGAAAGGGCGCACGGUGGAUGCCUUGGCACUAGGAGCCGAUGAAGGACGGGACGAACACCGAUAUGCUUCGGGGAGCUGUAAGCAAGCUUUGAUCCGGAGAUUUCCGAAUGGGGAAACCCACCACUCGUAAUGGAGUGGUAUCCAUAUCUGAAUACAUAGGAUAUGAGAAGGCAGACCCGGGGAACUGAAACAUCUAAGUACCCGGAGGAAGAGAAAGCAAAUGCGAUUCCCUGAGUAGCGGCGAGCGAAACGGGACCAGCCCAAACCAAGAGGCUUGCCUCUUGGGGUUGUAGGACACUCUGUACGGAGUUACAAAGGAACGAGGUAGAUGAAGAGGUCUGGAAAGGCCCGCCAUAGAAGGUAACAGCCCUGUAGUCAAAACUUCGUUCUCUCCUGAGUGGAUCCUGAGUACGGCGGAACACGUGAAAUUCCGUCGGAAUCCGGGAGGACCAUCUCCCAAGGCUAAAUACUCCCUAGUGACCGAUAGUGAACCAGUACCGUGAGGGAAAGGUGAAAAGCACCCCGGAAGGGGAGUGAAAGAGAUCCUGAAACCGUGUGCCUACAAGUAGUCAGAGCCCGUUAACGGGUGAUGGCGUGCCUUUUGUAGAAUGAACCGGCGAGUUACGAUCCCGUGCAAGGUUAAGCAGAAGAUGCGGAGCCGCAGCGAAAGCGAGUCUGAAUAGGGCGAAUUGAGUACGUGGUCGUAGACCCGAAACCAGGUGAUCUACCCAUGUCCAGGGUGAAGUUCAGGUAACACUGAAUGGAGGCCCGAACCCACGCACGUUGAAAAGUGCGGGGAUGAGGUGUGGGUAGGGGUGAAAUGCCAAUCGAACCUGGAGAUAGCUGGUUCUCUCCGAAAUAGCUUUAGGGCUAGCCUCAAGGUAAGAGUCUCGGAGGUAGAGCACUGAUUGGACUAGGGGCCCCUACCGGGUUACCGAAUUCAGUCAAACUCCGAAUGCCGAUGACUUAUCCUUGGGAGUCAGACUGCGAGUGAUAAGAUCCGUAGUCGAAAGGGAAACAGCCCAGACCGCCAGCUAAGGUCCCAAAGUAUACGUUAAGUGGAAAAGGAUGUGGAGUUGCUUAGACAACCAGGAUGUUGGCUUAGAAGCAGCCACCAUUUAAAGAGUGCGUAAUAGCUCACUGGUCGAGUGACUCUGCGCCGAAAAUGUACCGGGGCUAAACGUAUCACCGAAGCUGCGGACUGUUCUUCGAACAGUGGUAGGAGAGCGUUCUAAGGGCUGUGAAGCAAGACCGGAAGGACUUGUGGAGCGCUUAGAAGUGAGAAUGCCGGUAUGAGUAGCGAAAGAGGGGUGAGAAUCCCCUCCACCGAAUGCCUAAGGUUUCCUGAGGAAGGCUCGUCCGCUCAGGGUUAGUCGGGACCUAAGCCGAGGCCGAAAGGCGUAGGCGAUGGAUAACAGGUUGAUAUUCCUGUACCACCUCCUCACCAUUUGAGCAAUGGGGGGACGCAGGAGGAUAGGGUAAGCGCGGUAUUGGAUAUCCGCGUCCAAGCAGUUAGGCUGGGAAAUAGGCAAAUCCGUUUCCCGUGAAGGCUGAGCUGUGAUGGCGAGCGAAUUAUAGUAGCGAAGUUCCUGAUUCCACACUGCCAAGAAAAGCCUCUAGCGAGGUGAGAGGUGCCCGUACCGCAAACCGACACAGGUAGGCGAGGAGAGAAUCCUAAGGUGAUCGAGAGAACUCUCGUUAAGGAACUCGGCAAAAUGACCCGUAACUUCGGGAGAAGGGGUGCUCUGUUAGGGUGCAAGCCCGAGAGAGCCGCAGUGAAUAGGCCCAGGCGACUGUUUAGCAAAAACACAGGUCUCUGCGAAGCCGUAAGGCGAAGUAUAGGGGCUGACGCCUGCCCGGUGCUGGAAGGUUAAGAGGAGCGCUUAGCGUAAGCGAAGGUGCGAAUUGAAGCCCCAGUAAACGGCGGCCGUAACUAUAACGGUCCUAAGGUAGCGAAAUUCCUUGUCGGGUAAGUUCCGACCCGCACGAAAGGCGCAACGAUCUGGGCACUGUCUCAACGAGAGACUCGGUGAAAUUAUAGUACCUGUGAAGAUGCAGGUUACCCGCGACAGGACGGAAAGACCCCGUGGAGCUUUACUGCAGCCUGAUAUUGAAUGUUGGUACAGCUUGUACAGGAUAGGUAGGAGCCUUGGAAACCGGAGCGCCAGCUUCGGUGGAGGCAUCGGUGGGAUACUACCCUGGCUGUAUUGACCUUCUAACCCGCCGCCCUUAUCGGGCGGGGAGACAGUGUCAGGUGGGCAGUUUGACUGGGGCGGUCGCCUCCUAAAAGGUAACGGAGGCGCCCAAAGGUUCCUCAGAAUGGUUGGAAAUCAUUCGCAGAGUGUAAAGGCACAAGGGAGCUUGACUGCGAGACCUACAAGUCGAGCAGGGACGAAAGUCGGGCUUAGUGAUCCGGUGGUUCCGCAUGGAAGGGCCAUCGCUCAACGGAUAAAAGCUACCCCGGGGAUAACAGGCUUAUCUCCCCCAAGAGUCCACAUCGACGGGGAGGUUUGGCACCUCGAUGUCGGCUCAUCGCAUCCUGGGGCUGUAGUCGGUCCCAAGGGUUGGGCUGUUCGCCCAUUAAAGCGGUACGCGAGCUGGGUUCAGAACGUCGUGAGACAGUUCGGUCCCUAUCCGUCGCGGGCGCAGGAAAUUUGAGAGGAGCUGUCCUUAGUACGAGAGGACCGGGAUGGACGCACCGCUGGUGUACCAGUUGUUCUGCCAAGGGCAUCGCUGGGUAGCUAUGUGCGGACGGGAUAAGUGCUGAAAGCAUCUAAGCAUGAAGCCCCCCUCAAGAUGAGAUUUCCCAUUCCGCAAGGAAGUAAGAUCCCUGAAAGAUGAUCAGGUUGAUAGGUCUGAGGUGGAAGUGUGGCGACACAUGGAGCUGACAGAUACUAAUCGAUCGAGGACUUAACCAA
rnacentral:rRNA from 1 species